GGCGACGUAGCCAAGAGGCUAAGGCACAGGACUGCAACUCCUUGAUCCCCGGUUCAAAUCCGGGCGUCGCCUCCA
rnacentral:tRNA from 1 species